rnacentral:lncRNA from 1 species
CAGAGCGAAGCUGGACUGCAGGCUUCAGGGAGCUUGGUUUUCUCUCUUCUGUGCACUGUAGGGUCCCCAGAAGCAGAGGACUGUCCAGUAGACGGCAGGCGCUCAACCCACGUUCACAAAGAACAGCUGACGAAGAGUCAAACAUCCAGAUUGCCUCAGUCAACCUGGUUCCCAGUGAAUGCUGGAAGCCGCCUGGACAGGGGUUCUUUCAAUGCUGUCCAUCUCGUGCUGGGUCUGACAUCUGACAUCCGCUGACCGCCUCCUAUGUGUCACACACUGUGCUGGGCAUGGGGGCUCCCAGGGACAACACAAAGAAUCAGUGUCUACGUUCAUGGCGCUUCCAUUUUAAAUUAAGGAACGAACACACAUAGUAAAAUAAUUUCAAUAAAAUAAAAUGUUACAAGUAUUAG